rnacentral:rRNA from 1 species
GUAGGGGGCAAGCGUUGUCCGGAUUUAUUGGGCGUAAAGAGCGUGUAGGCGGCUAGGUAGGUGGGUUGUGAAAACUGGAGGCUCAACCCUCAGACGUCGACCCAAACCCCCUGGCUAGAGUCCGGAAGAGGAGAGUGGAAUUCCUGGUGUAGCGGUGAAAUGCGCAGAUAUCAGGAAGAACACCCGUGGCGAAGGCGGCUCUCUGGGACGGUACUGACGCUGAGACGCGAAAGCGUGGGGAGCGAACAGGAUUAGAUACCCUGGUAGUCCACGCCGUAAACGAUGGGUGCUAGGUGUGGGGGGUGUCGACUCCCUCCGUGCCGAAGCUAACGCAUUAAGCACCCCGCCUGGGGAGUACGGCCGCAAGG